UACGUAGGCAGCGAGCGUUGUUCGGAGUUACUGGGCGUAAAGAGUGCGUAGGCGGUGCCCUAAGUCUGGUGUGAAAUCUCCCGGCUCAACCUCGAGACGCCGGUGGAAACCGUAAAGCUAGAGUCCGGAAGAGGAGAGUGGAAUUCCUGGUGUAGCGGUGAAAUGCGCAGAUAUCAGGAAGAACACCCGUGGCGAAGGCGGCUCUCUGGGACGGUACUGACGCUGAGACGCGAAAGCGUGGGGAGCGAACAGG
rnacentral:rRNA from 1 species